rnacentral:misc_RNA from 1 species
CACGGCUCACCUCCCGUCAGUCGCCCGCCGACUCUGCUUGUGCUUGUGUGAUUCGCGCCGCUCCGUGCUCCGCACUCGUGCCCCGAACACGACGCGUGCCGCCCCGCUGUGGCCGCGAACGCGACCUCUACGCUAUCGGCGAAAUACUUCUCCUAAUUUACGUGCAACUUGCUAUGUGUUAACAUACGGACAUUUUACACUCCCUUUACCCGGCUUGUUUACCCCUCAUCAUAGUUGAGCCCCGCACCGCACCGGCUUGCUCGCUGUCCGCCGAGCCGCUAAUAUAGCUUUUUUCGCGCCCCACCGUCGCCUGUCCAGACCCGCACCGGCCGCCGCAAUGCUCGCGCACCAAGCACCGCUCGCCCUCUACUAAACUCAACCGUCAACAUCGAUAAGAACGCGUGUGAUAAUAUUAAUAUUUAAUACUCGCCUAAAUAAGCUUGCAACGUCGGUGUCUUUAAUUCUAACUUAAUUGUAAGAUUAAUAAAUAAGUAAGAAAUAGCCGUGCUAUCCGCGCGUGUAUCGCCGCACCGCCGCAUCGCCGCGAAGCCGGGUCGAGUGGUCGUGGUAGUGGUCGCGCGUGUGAGCAGUGAGUGCCAGUGAGGGUGCGCGUGGCGCAAGCCAGUGCAGCGACCGCACGUCUGCUCGCCUGCUAGUGAGAGAAGUGCAUGACAAGAGCGCGCGGGCGCGCUCGCUCCCCGUUGCCGCCUAUGCGACGCACUCGCUGCGCGUAACUGCGUGCGCCUCUACCGCCUUCAACAACAGUGCCAACGAUGGCCACCAUGGUGAAUAUGAAUAGCCUGCUAAACGGCAAGGACUCACGCUGGCUGCAGCUUGAAGUGUGCCGUGAAUUUCAACGGAAUAAGUGCUCGCGGCCCGAUACUGAAUGCAAGUUCGCCCAUCCCCCGGCCACCGUCGAGGUGCAGAAUGGAAGAGUCACCGCCUGCUACGAUAGUAUCAAGGGCCGGUGUAACCGUGAAAAGCCGCCGUGCAAGUACUUCCACCCACCGCAGCAUCUGAAGGACCAGUUGCUGAUCAACGGUCGGAAUCACCUCGCACUGAAAAACGCUCUAAUGCAGCAAAUGGGCCUCACGCCGGGCCAGGUGCUGCCCGGCCAAGUUCCCGCCGUGGCAACAUCGCCGUACUUGUCGGGCGUGCCCGGCGUAGGCUCGACAUACGCGCAGUACUACGCGCCGCAGCUGGUGCCGGCGGUGCUGGGCCACGACCCGGCCGCCGCCGCCGCCUCGCCGCUCGGCGUCAUGCAGCAACCCGUGCUGCAGCAGAAAUUGCCUCGCACUGAUCGCCUUGAGAUGGACAUGAAGAGCGUCGGAUCCUUCUAUUACGAUAACUUCGCCUUCCCCGGCGUCGUACCGUACAAGCGACCGGCCGCCGACAAAGCCGGCGUGCCCGUGUACCAGCCAGCGACGACUUACCAGCAGCUGAUGCAGCUCCAGCAGCCGUUCGUGCCCGUGUCAUUUACUGGACACCCUCCCGGUGUGCCAAGAUUUUAAUCGACAAGGAUGUACAAGACCCACAUGCAGAUUUGUUCAUAUUCGUGAAGGGUGCGGGCUGCAGGUGGUGGGGUGUCGCGUGGUGGUGUGUCGCGACGCCGCCGCCGGCACGUGCCGCCGCGCCGCCUGCCGCUACUACCACAUCCCCGUUCAAUUACCGCCAGCACUUCGUCCUCCUUAACCUGACCCGUCGCCGCCCGUCCACCGCAGCACCCUCACCCUCUCCACCCGUUCCUCCCUAACCCCCACCCGUAUACCGCAAUGUCCACCUCCCCACUCGUUCCCUCUCCCGCCCUGGCCCCGCAUCGCCCGCGCCCCGCGUUAUCCAUAUCGAUCGCGCCUCUGGCACACUCGGGAAAUGGCAGGUUCGACCGGAACGCACUGUCGCUCCCGCGACGGAGGUGGUGAUAUCUUAGUGAAUAUCGGUUAGAGUAGAUCGGCGGGAGCGGUCCGCCGCCCUAUACUCAGCACAAGCGUCGGCCCGCUCGCGCCUGGAACGCGUGUAAGUUUUCGGGAAAGAGUGUGUACAUAAGUAGCGGGAUAUGAUUCUCAGGCACGGUCAUGCGAUUGUGAUAUGAAUAGAUUUCGAGACGCCGGAGCCGUUUGAGUAAUUUUAUCGAGAUCGUACCGAGAUCGUCGAACAGUAGUUAGUGAGGUUUCAAAUGUUUUAUUACUAUUAUAUAUUUUUUUUAAGAUGCGAUAUGAGUUCCUGAAAAUACCGGCGCGGUCGCCAUCGAGCGUCGCACGGAGACUUUGUUGUAUAUAAGCGAUGUAAUUAAUUUUACGGGUGGUGCGAGGCCGCGGCGGCGGCGCGGGCGCAAGCGGCCGCCACACGGUCGGAGCCGCCACCGCUCACGCCGCCGCCACGGCCUCGGCCGGUGUCAAAAGUUGCAUCACCCCACUCCCGAUGUGAGCAUUUUUGUGAGAUUUAAGUUACUUUUUUUACUUAUAAAAUUACUUUUUUCUAGAGGUCAAGUUUUACACUAGAUUAGAUUAAGCAAAUCAGUAACGAAACACCAAUAGAGUAGCCGCUUCUCUCCUUCGGCACCGAAACUUUUGACGCCGGAGCACAAUUCAUGUUCGGCGGAGCUUUGCGGGCGUCGCGGGUGUCGGCGGCGUCGCCUCGCCCCGUCUCGCCCCGCCGCGUCCCGCCUCGUCCCGCCUCGUCCCGCUCGCACGUUAGCGUAGGUCGCGACACUCGUAGAGUGAUGAUAGAGGACAGAAAUCGAAAUACAAUCAACGUUAUCGGACAAUAUUAAAACGAAGAAAGCAUACUUCCAAGCUAUAUAUACCUUAAUUUUAGGAUAGAACGUCGGCUUUUAUUCCGGAUAGAUUUUGCUAGAUAUCAUUCUGUUACCGAUCGAAUCCCGUCUAUCGAUGCACAAAACAUAACCGACGAUCGAGUCCGACGCCUCUCGGCGAGUGCGGCCCGCUUGCGCUCGCGAGCAGUACAGACUUGAGGUUGUAUUGUUUUGGACACAAACAGUAUUAACGUUCGGCACGUACUCGUACGCGUUGUCGGAGCUCCGAACAGCGUGCGUACGUGGAGGUGGUUGGUGUGUGUCACGUAUGUGUCACGCGUGCGUCACGUGUGCGUCACGCGUGCGUCACGUGUACACGCGUGCAGUACAUGCGGAUAGAGAGGCGGGAGUGUCGCAGCCGCGGCAGCGCACCCCGUGGGCACGGAAGCCUACGAUGCCCGAUAUUAUUCCUAGUCCAUAUCCUUUUUGUUGAUCAGUCAUGCGAUUAAUGUUAGAGUAAAUAUUAAUAAUUUGAUUUAUUCCUCCCGUUUAGUGGAUAUUUUGAUAAUGAUAUAUUAAUAAUGAAAUAUUUAAGAUACAUAAUACAUAUUUGAUUCUAAAUCCUGAUAAAGUGACACUACGUUAGUAAUUUAGUCGGAGGGAUACUUGUGCCGUGAUUAUAUUUUUAGGUAUAUAUUAUGAAAUAAUUCCUAGCGUCGGAAUUAAAGAAGUGAUUAAUGUGUAAGCGUGUUAUAUUUAUUGUCGUAACGUAAGUGGAAUGCCAUAUCGAUAAAAGGUGAAUAUCGGAUGCGGAGUCAAACUCGUUAGUAGCUCGUUGCGUUUGUGUUUAUGUUGAUUGAUUGUUAUUAGAUAUCAGUCCGUGCUAGUGGCUAAGGUGAACAGUUCACUUUUAUCAAUACGGCACUAUGGCUCUUAAAUGUAUAAGUUGUCAUUUUAUUUUUUGUUAAAAUUUAUCGUUUCAUGAAUUAUUUGUUGCCUAUAAUUUUUAUAAUCAAAAUUUUAUGAUCUGACGCAUUUAUUGUAAGACAAUCGAUUACUUUUAUAAUUAAUUAGUGUGAUAAUAAUAAUUAUGGUAUCAAAUUGCCGUUAUGAAAGAUGAACAUCGAAAGUAUCCUUCCUAUUUAGAAGGGACUCGUCUGGCCCAAGGUUUCUAGUGGAUUUUAUAUUUUUUCUUUUUGUUGUAUUUUUAAUGUUGCGUGUGUCUUACACAUAAUAUAUUUCAUUUUUGUGAUAUUUUUAACUAUAAAGUACUGUUAUUAUAAAUCCAAAUGGAAUAAUGAUGACCUAAUUAAAAUAUUCAAGAAUUUAUUUGUAAAUCACAAAAAAAAAUGUAAAACUGUAAAUAUAUUGACAAAAAAAUGAACUGCAACACAAUAAUUGACUAUUAUAACUCUCAUCAAAUACAUUGUAAGUUGUUUGAGUACCUAAAUAACGGUAUCUUAUUAUGUAGUAUGUACCUACAAUCUACUUAAAGGUAAACCGGUCCAGUGAACAAAGUAUUGAUAAUAUUGUGAACAUUUUUUUAUUCACGAACAAUCACAGAAAGUACAUGACAUUGUAAUAUUAUUUAUGAAAUUACUAUGUGAUGUGAUCUUCGGAUCAAUUUUGAGUACAGUAUAGAUAAUAAACAACUGAAUAUGUGA